UGCCAGCAGCCGCGGUAAUACGGAGGGGGCUAGCGUUGUUCGGAAUUACUGGGCGUAAAGCGCGCGUAGGCGGACUAAUUAGUCAGAGGUGAAAGCCCUGGGCUCAACCCGGGAAUUGCCUUUGAUACUGUUAGUCUUGAGUCCGGGAGAGGGUUGCGGAAUUCCGAGUGUAGAGGUGAAGUUCGUAGAUAUUCGGAAGAACACCAGUUGCGAAGGCGGCAACCUGGACCGGUACUGACGCUGAGGUGCGAAAGCGUGGGGAGCAAACAGGAUUAGAUA
rnacentral:rRNA from 1 species